rnacentral:rRNA from 1 species
UACGAAGGGUGCUAGCGUUGUUCGGAAUCACUGGGCGUAAAGCGCGCGUAGGCGGCUAUUCAAGUCAGGGGUGAAAUCCUGGAGCUUAACUCCAGAAUUGCCUUUGAAACUGUAUAGCUAGAGUGUCGGAGGGGAUAGCGGAAUUCCUAAUGUAGAGGUGAAAUUCGUAGAUAUUAGGAGGAACACCGGUGGCGAAGGCGGCUAUCUGGACGACAACUGACGCUGAGGCGCGAAAGCGUGGGGAUCAAACAGG